GGACAUAAACCCCCAAGGGAGGAGGAAAUAGAGAAAAAGAUCGAAGCCUUGACGGCAAGAGUCGGAGCCACUCCAACCCUCUACCGCUCUCACUCAUCUUCGGACGAAUCCCUCCGUUUCCCUUCACCUUUCAGGCCACAAGUUCUUGAUGGAGGUCCAAUCUCUUGGUGUUCCAAAGCCACUUGUUCAAGCCACGCUUCAACUUGGAUCAGAAAAAUAUGCCUUUGCAGCAGCUGCUAAUGGCGGCCCUCUUUCGGAGCAGCUGGCUUCAAUGAAAGAGGAAAGCAUGAGGAUAUUCAAGGAGUACAUCACCAAACAUAAUGUCCCCACUGAUGUUCCGGACGACCUUGUUGAGAGCUCUUCCGAAGAUGAUGUUGAACCCACCGAGAAGGCACCAGUGAACUUGAAGAAAACAAAACUAAAUUAAUCUUCUUAUUAGAACGAAUGCCAAUUAUAAUGUGUACGAGGAGCUCAUUAACCUAGUUAUCUUGGUAAACUAGUUUUUAAAUGCCAAUAAAGUGGCUGCUUAAUCAAAUUGCCUGAUAUUAAUGUACUUUGGCGUUCUCAUUUCGAUGUACGUUCUGUUCUUGGUUUCUCCUUCAGGUUUCAGAGACACAAAGAUGAGGUUUAUAUGGUGAAUCGCUAGCAAAAAUUCUGUUUGCUUUUAGUAACCAGCGAAUCAUUUGUUAU